CAGAGCGUAGCUAAGAUAGAACAGCAUCUCCCUUACACUGAGAAGUCAUCCGUG
rnacentral:rRNA from 1 species